GCGGCUGCGGCUUCUGCUCAGGGAGGCGGAAGGCGGCGGCGGGAGCGGUCAUGGAGGCGGGCGCCGGAGCCGGCGCGGGAGCCGCGGGCUGGAGCUGCCCGGGCCCAGUCAUCCCCUACCCCCAAUCCCCCCAUCUUCUCCUUGCCUCUUGUAGGCCUGGUGGUCAUCUCGGCUUUGCUCUGGUGCUGGUGGGCUGAGACGUCGUCCUAAUGCAGAACAUGUUUGGGUUGUGGAAGCCUAUGGUAUUCUUGGCUAUUGCAGCUGUGGCUCUGUAUGUGUUACCCAACAUGCGACAGCAGGAGUCAGAGUUCUGCCUCAUGGAGUGAUGGCAGACCUUGGCCAGCGCGAGGGCAGAUCCCCAGUGGCCACCACCCUCAGCUUUGGGCAGGACACACUGUGCCAGAACCCUCCCCAUAUGUUCCAUGUGUCCCCAUCUCCUCAGCCUCAGUCACCCAGGCUGAAAAGGCUUGUGGGGAGCGGCUGACUUCCAUCUCCUGCCUUGUGUAAGAACCUGAGUUCCUUGUAAUUAAAUAUCAACUGAAUUAC
rnacentral:lncRNA from 1 species